UACGUAGGGCGCAAGCGUUGUCCGGAAUUAUUGGGCGUAAAGAGCUCGUAGGCGGUCUGUCGCGUCGGAUGUGAAAGCCCGGGGCUUAACCCCGGGUCUGCAUUCGAUACGGGCAGACUAGAGUGUGGUAGGGGAGAUCGGAAUUCCUGGUGUAGCGGUGAAAUGCGCAGAUAUCAGGAGGAACACCGAUGGCGAAGGCAGGUCUCUGGGCCGAUACUGACGCUGAGGAGCGAAAGCGUGGGGAGCGAACAGG
rnacentral:rRNA from 1 species